GAUGAACGCUGGCGGCGUGCCUAAUACAUGCAAGUCGAGCGAACGGACGAGAAGCUUGCUUCUCUGAUGUUAGCGGCGGACGGGUGAGUGACACGUGCAUAACCUACCUAUAAGACUGGGAUAACUUCGGGAAACCGGAGCUAAUACCGGAUAAUAUUUUGAACCGCAUGGUUCAAAAGUGAAAGACGGUCUUGCUGUCACUUAUAGAUGGAUCCGCGCUGCAUUAGCUAGUUGGUAAGGUAACGGCUUACCAAGGCGACGAUGCAUAGCCGACCUGAGAGGGUGAUCGGCCACACUGGAACUGAGACACGGUCCAGACUCCUACGGGAGGCAGCAGUAGGGAAUCUUCCGCAAUGGGCGAAAGCCUGACGGAGCAACGCCGCGUGAGUGAUGAAGGUCUUCGGAUCGUAAAACUCUGUUAUUAGGGAAGAACAUAUGUGUAAGUAACUGUGCACAUCUUGACGGUACCUAAUCAGAAAGCCACGGCUAACUACGUG
rnacentral:rRNA from 1 species